UACGUAGGGUGCGAGCGUUAAUCGGAAUUACUGGGCGUAAAGGGCGCGUAGGCGGACAGUUUAGUCGAGGGUGAAAGCCCGGGGCUCAACCUCGGAAUUGCCUUCGAUACCGGCUGUCUUGAGUGCGGGAGAGGUGUGUGGAACUCCGAGUGUAGAGGUGAAAUUCGUAGAUAUUCGGAAGAACACCAGUGGCGAAGGCGACACACUGGCCCGUUACUGACGCUGAGGCGCGAAAGCGCGGGGAGCAAACAGG
rnacentral:rRNA from 1 species